UCAGAUGUGUAGCGGUGACACGGCCUCCCCACAUGAACAAAAACCAUGCAAGUUCAGGAGGCAGUCCCGGGUUCGAUCCCCGGCGUCUGAG